rnacentral:rRNA from 1 species
UGGACGUUACUCGCAGAAUAAGCACCGGCUAACUCUGUGCCAGCAGCCGCGGUAAUACAGAGGGUGCGAGCGUUAAUCGGAAUUACUGGGCGUAAAGCGUGCGCAGGCGGUUAUGUAAGACAGAGGUGAAAUCCCCGGGCUCAACCUGGGAACUGCCUUUGUGACUGCAUAGCUGGAGUACGGCAGAGGGGGAUGGAAUUCCGCGUGUAGCAGUGAAAUGCGUAGAUAUGCGGAGGAACACCGAUGGCGAAGGCAAUCCCCUGGGCCUGUACUGACGCUCAUGCACGAAAGCGUGGGGAGCAAACAGGAUUAGAUACCCUGGUAGUCC